ACGGACUCUGGGCAUUUCGGCAGCCAGAUUCCAUGCUUUCUGUGGGUGUCUGUGCUGCCUGCUUCGCUCAGGUUCUCACCAGCAGUGGGUGGGGACAAUGCAUUGUGAGGUGAGGACUCCUGGAGACCACAGGCUUCCAGUGUAUUCAGGCUGUAGGUAGAAUUCAGCUCUUUGCCAAACCGUCAAGGUGGACAGUACUUACCUUGUUGGGUAGUGGGAUUUUAGUGAGGUGACAUGUGUGGGCAAGCUUUAUCAACAGCUUGUGUCAUGUUAUCCAUCCCAGAAGAUGCUAGGCACUACAAUGGAAAUGGAACAGGUCUCCAGUUAAACAGCGCGAGGAUUAUGAAGCUGGCGGAGAUACGGGCAGAUUUAGAAGGCCAUGCCGACCACCUUACAGAGAAAUUGCCGUGUCUAGGUGCCCACUCUAACUGUCAGAAAUCCUCAUACCAGCCUUUGUGGUCCUGGAAGGAGGCCUAUCUGUGGUAGAACAUUGAAUGAACGAAGGAAUCCAAGAGGCACACUGAGUGGGAGUGAGUUUUUGAGUACUGUGAAAUAGAUAGAGGUUAUACCUUCUCUCUUUCCCCUCCCCCUCCUCCUCUCCUUC
rnacentral:lncRNA from 1 species